UACAGGGGGUGCAAGCGUUGCUCGGAAUUACUGGGCGUAAAGCGUGCGCAGGCGGCUCGUCAAGUCGGGGGUGAAAGCCCGGGGCUCAACCCCGGAAUUGCCUUCGAAACUGGCGGGCUUGAAUGCGGGAGAGGCCGGUGGAAUUCCGGGUGUAGUGGUGAAAUGCGUAGAGAUCCGGAGGAACACCAGAGGCGAAGGCGGCCGGCUGGACCUGACCUGACGCUGAGGCACGAAGGCGUGGGGAGCGAACGGG
rnacentral:rRNA from 1 species